GGAACAUUUGGAGUUAAUAUAAAAUAAAUAAAAUGGACAAAUGUCAAUUUUUUAUUGUUGGGACAGGAAUGGAAUAGAGAGUUGGGGACAGGUGAUUUCUAUUCAUAUAAAGGUGUUAUGCUUUGAUUAUUUGCAUAAUAAACAUAAAAUGCGUUCUUCAAAUGCAUUAUCUACUAUGUAUCAAUAGCCAAUAUUGGAAAAUGAUACUGCAAUUAACGGUUCAUCUAGUAAUAGCAACGGCUCAUCGAGCAACUCUGAGAACCAAUCUCAUGCAUCCUGAGUUCGAAGUUGAAGUCCUGAAGUUCAUAAUCUUUCAAAUGGACAAAGAAGACGUUUUGAACUACCUCUAACUUCCCCACUGCCUACAGACAUGAUUACCAUUACCCGGUCAAGUGUAAAUGGUUGGAGAUUUAGUAUUCGGGCUCCGUUAACACCUCAACAAGAAGUUUACCUCUAACGCGUGCACAAUGGUAUCUCAGCAAUAGAGAGUGCAAUGGAAUACAUCCAGCUAUAUGAAAUUACUGCAGAAUCCAUGACUCGACUGUUGAGUGUAGUAGAGAGGAUGCCUGAACAGUUGCGAGAUGCAGUCAGCAUUUUCCACCGUCCACCCUAGUAUAUAUAUAUAUAUCUAUUCUAUAUAAAGUGUGGCUAUAUAACAGAAUUCUUGGUUUUUCAGAAAUUCUUGAGUGAUUUUUUCUUUUUUUAAGUUUUUUAUUCAAAAAUAAUUCUUAAUUUAAUAUUGAAGAUUUACAAAUAAUUCUUAUAUUGUGAUAAACCUAAAAUAUACUAAAAUUAAAAUAUACUAAAACGAUUGAAGAUUUACAAUUCUAUUUUUAAACCCAAUUUUGUUUUUCCUUCUCUGUGAUUGAGAACAACGAAGAGAGGCACCACAAUCAAACUCCAAAACUAUGUCACCUUCUUCCUUCUCUCCCAAGACACCUAGCUCCGACGUCUACCAGGCCCCUGUCUCUCUUCACCUUCAAGAGGAAGAUGGACCAGUCGAGUUACAAGAAACGGCGAGACUAUAAGGGAUUGAGGGAGUGAGAAGUAAGAUCGAGAUAGUGAUCGGGAUCGAGAGCGAGAAUAAGAGCAAGGCUGUGAGAGAGACCCAAAAAGAGAUUAUUUAAAUCAGAGCAAGCGAGAACGAGAGCGUGAUCGUGACAGAGACCGAGAAAGAGAUCGUUUAAAUCAAAAUAAGAGGAGAAUAGGGGAUAGGAUGACGCACGUGAACAAAAAUAAAGGUAUGUUCUGUGAUCGUGUCUAGACAAUGAAUUUUUUUGGGAAGAAUACUGGAGAUUACGAGAAAUAAAGGUAUGUUCUGUGGAGAAUUUAUGUUUCUUUGUUGCACGCUACAUGUAAUCCUCAAAGCAUUGAAGUUUCAUAAACUCAUACUUCUACAGGUCCUCCGAAGAUUGAGUCAUCCCAAUAUCAUGAAAUUGAACGAGGUUAUCUAAGAAAACGAUGAAGUGGUCCUAAUUUUUGAGUACAUGAUACAACUGCCUUAAGGAUGCAAACAACUACCUUUGAAAAAUUCAAAGGACUGUGGAAGACGCUUACAGAGGGAACUUGGAGUGAUGCAUUUGAUGGACUUGGAAUGUCCAUGUUACUGACUUGGAACCCUGACU